AUUGAACGCUAGCGGGAUGCCUUACACAUGCAAGUCGAACGGAGUGGCGAACGGGUGCGUAAUGUAUCUGAACGUGCCCAGGAGCGGGGGAUAACUACGCCAAAGCGUAGCUAAAACUGCAUACUCUUGGAGCGGCCGAUAGCGGAUGAGCUAGGUGGUGGGGGAACGGCCCACCAAGGCGACGAUCCGUAGCUGGUUUGAGAGGACGACCAGCCACACUGGGACUGAGACACGGCCCAGACUCCGACGGGAGGCAGCAGUGGGGAAUUUUGUACAAUGGGGGAAACCCUGAUGCAGCCAUGCCGCGUGUGCGAUGAAGGCCUUCGGGUUGUAAAGCACUUGUGGCAGGAAAGCGGUACCUGCAGAAGAAGCACCGGCUAACUACGUGCCAGCCGCCGCGGUAAUUC
rnacentral:rRNA from 1 species